CAGAGUUCGUGCCCUCACGGGUAGAUCUCCCACCCUGUGUUAUUAUACCUUUGUUGCUUUGGCGGGCCGCCCUCGGCUACCGGCCCCGGCUGGUACGCGCCCGCCAGAGGACCCCAAACUCUGUUUGUUAAUGUCGUCUGAGUACUAUUUAAUAGUUA
rnacentral:misc_RNA from 1 species